rnacentral:rRNA from 1 species
AGGCGGGAUUGAAAGUCAGACGUGAAAGCCCAGGGCUCAACCCUGGAAUUGCAUCUGAAACUUCAUUCCUUGAGGAUAGACGGAGAAGACAGAAUUCCACGUGUAGCGGUGAAAUGCGUAGAUAUGUGGAAGAAUACCGGUGGCGAAGGCGGUCUUCUAGUUUAUUCCUGACGCUGAGGCGCGAAAGCAAGGGGAGCGAACAGGAUUAGAUACCCUGGUAGUCCUUGCCGUAAACGAUGCAUACUUGGUGUAGCUGGUCUCAACCCCAGCUUUGCCGGAGCUAACGCGUUAAGUAUGCCGCCUGGGGAGUACGCUCGCAAGGGUGAAACUCAAAAGAAUUGACGGGGACCCGCACAAGCAGUGGAGCAUGUGGUUUAAUUCGAUGCAACGCGAAGAACCUUACCCAGGCUUGACAUGUAGAGGACCGCUCUGGAAACAGAGUUUCUCGUAUGAGUCUCUACACAGGUGCUGCAUGGCUGUCGUCAGCUCGUGCCGUGAGGUGUUGGGUUAAGUCCCGCAACGAGCGCAACCCUUGUCGUUAGUUGCCAACAGGUAAUGCUGGGAACUCUAACGAGACUGCCUAGGUUAACUAGGAGGAAGGUGAGGAUGACGUCAAGUCAGCAUGGCCCUUAUGCCUGGGGCGACACACGUGCUACAAUGGUCGGUACAGAGGGCAGCUAAGCCGCGAGGUGGAGCAAAUCCCCAAAACCGAUCUCAGUUCGGAUUGUAGUCUGCAACUCGACUACAUGAAGUCG